rnacentral:lncRNA from 1 species
UUUUACUUGGAGUUCUACUUGGAAGUGAACAUCUUUGGAGUUGAGACUGGAGAAGAAUCUGCUGACUGGACCUGAGGCCCUGUUCCUGCCCAAUAGAUUUUGCUCCAGCCUUUGACCUAUAACCUGUGCGUGUCUACCUGCUCCAUGUGUGUUUCUUGUAAACAACAUAUGGCAGGAUUUUGGUUUCUAGUCCACUCUGCUAUUUGCUUCCUCUUUACAGCUCUGUUGUGUGGAAGAAAGAAGGGAAGGAAGGAAGAAAGGAAGGAAGGAAGGAAGGAAGGAAGGAAGGAAGGAAGGAAGGAAGGAAGGAAGGAAGGAAGGAAGGAAGGAAAGAAAAGAGAGAGAAUGAGAGAGAAAGAAAAAAAGGAAAGAAGGAAGAAAAGAAAGAGAGAAAGAACCAAAAGUCAUCCCCAAUUUAUGAACUAUCAAAGGAAAUAUGCAUCUUCUAAGAGAAUUAUGAUAUGCUAGCAAAUAACUAAUAGUGGGGACUAUAGAUCAAAAUAUUAAUUAUAUUUUACUCUGCAUGUUAGUAAAGUUGACCCCAAAAUGGGAAUAGGCAAUGCUGAAGGACUUAUGGGAAAAUAAAUACUCAUUCAUUUUUGGUGGAGCUAUGAAG